AUGGUUUCCCAAAUCCAUGCUCUGAAGCUUGUAGUAGAACUCAACUCCAGCCUUGUUUUUCAUGAUCUGAAAACCUCUUUGAACCCGAGAUAAUACAGACUGUGGAUUUUGUUGUGAAAAGCAUCCGAUUAUUUAUUGCACUUCAUGAUCCAGGAACUGAAAUUGCAUCAAUUGGAACACAGGAGGAGGUGAAACAAGGGGUUGAGCUUUGCACAAAACCCCCUUAACUGCUAAAGGAAAACCAGAGGAGGAGAUUCAUGAGGCACCACCACAGCCUUCCCGCAGGAGCAGCUAAACCUAACAGAAAACUAAUCAAAUGAUAGUCAGGUGCUUCCCUGAUUUACUUGUUUAGAAGCAGCCACUGGGAGCAAAACUUUGUGACUCAGCUUUGGUGAUGCA